UCCCACUACCAUGGGUAUAGAGACACCUUGUUGAUGGUGGUGUUCUUAUGUCAGUCAGGGGCAGAGUAGAUGACUUUGUUCAUCCUAGUUUAAUACCUGGCUUGGUGACCAAAGUUAUCUAAUAUCUAAGACUCAUAA